GGGUGUGUAAUUUAUGUUGUUGAUGAUUCAUUUUCAUUUGCUAGAACUACAGUUAUAUUCAGUUUACAUGGACGUAACAAAUAGAAGUGAAUUAUGUAACAGUGUUAUUCAUUGAACGCUCGUCGUUGAAAUAACAUCGAUUCGAGAUAUUACGAGUAUAAAUGAAGUGAGUGAUUAUAUACACAUAUGUAGGUAACCAGUUAUACAAUUGUUAAAAAUUUGUUUCCCAACAUUUGCAUCAACAGCUGAUAGAGGAUCAUCAACUUUCUGGCCACCACUUAAAAGGAUUCCACGUUCCCCUACUAUCGUGUUAUCACCAUGAGGAAACUGUACCAUGUCGUCUU